rnacentral:tRNA from 1 species
UUCAACUUGGCAGACCAAAUGUAAUAAAUUUAGAAUUUAUUUAUGAAACUUAAUUCAGUUGGAA